ACGGGUGACAGUGGCGGCGCGCGAGGGAAGAUGUGUUGGGCGUUCGAUCCAAACCUAGCGACGUUGGUGCGAGGUGAUCUAGAUGAUUAAAUUAAGAAACUUUGGGGUGAGUAAUAUUGUUGUGGAAACUUACAAGACAGAUGGCAGAAUAGAGCUAGAUGCAUUAGGGAAAAACUAAAGGAGUGGAAUUUAAAUUAUCUGUGGUUCUAUAAAAACAGGGGGCAGCUUUAGUUGAGAAGAUAGAUAACAUAGAUAAGGACAGCGAGAUUAAUGAUUUAAGUAGAGAGAACUACUUAUUAAGAAAAGACUUAGAGGAACAAAGGAAGAUUCUUUUUAGAGAAGAAGAGAUUAUGUGGCUGCAGAGAUCUAAAGAGAAAAAGCUGUUGGAAGGGGAUGCACUCCCUCAUUACUUCAUUGCUAGGGCUAGUGGUAGGAAGAGAAAAAAUAGGAUAACUUCCUUUAAUUUUAUAGAUAAUGUUGUGCAAGGGGAUAAAGACUUGUUAGACUAUGCCACAUCCUUUUAUAAACUUAUUUGGCCCUGUUACUAAUAAUUUAAUGUUACUGUCGAUUUGGAGUUUCCUUUUGUUUUAGAUGAUAUUGAUAGAAGUUUAUUAGAUAGGGAAUUUACUUUAGAAGAGAUUUAAAAAGUAGUUUUUCAGGUAAAGCAUAAUAAGGCGCCUGUGCCUGAUGUUGUCGCGGCUGAGUUUUAUCAACAUUUUUGGGAAGUAACUGCUGUUGAUUUACUUAAAUUUUUUAAUGAUUUUUAUCAUGGUAAACUAGAUUUAGUUAGAUUUAACUAUGGGGUGCUCACUCUGCUUCCCAAAUAUGUGGGGGCCGAAACACUACAAUAGUAUAGACCUAUAUGCCUAUCUAAUGUGAUUUUUAAAUUUACUAAGGUAAUUAAUAAUAGGGCAAGUAUAGUAGCUGACAAAAUUAUAACUCCUGUGCAAACAACAUUUAUUAAAGGUAGAUAUAUAUUAGAUGGAUUGGUGGUGUUACACGAACUCAUGCAUGAAGUACAUGAGAAAAAGAUGGAUGUUUCUUAAAGUAUAUUUAGAGAAAGCGUACGAUAAGAUUAACUGGACAUUUUAGAUUUGUUAAGGGAAAAGAAGGAUUUCAUGAUAAGUAUAUUAAUUGGGUGAUGCAAACAGUUACCUCAGGUAAAGUAGUAGUGAUGGUCAAUGACCGAAUUGGUUCUCUUUUCCUACUAAAAAGGGUUUAAGACAAGGUGACCCCUUGUCACCAAUUUUAUUUAACAUUGCUGUAGAUAUGCUUAAAGUGUUACUAGAUAAAGCUCCGAAAAGUGGUUUAAUUACUGGUUUAACUCCUGAUUUAGUUGAUGGUGGCAUUUGCAUGUUACAAUAUGCAGAUGGCACCAGUUUUUUGUUUCAAGAUGAUCUAGAGGGGGCUAAGAACAAUAAGUUUAUUUUGUCUCUUUGAGCAGAUUUCCGGGUUAAAGGUAAAUUUUCAUAAAAGUGAAGUAAUGUGUUUUGGUAGUGCUAGAGAUAAACAGAAUGAGUAUACUACUAUUUUUACUUGUCGAUAGGAUAUCUUUUCUUUAAGUAUUUAGGUAUUCCUGUUAAUUGUGUAAGAUUAUGCAAUAGUGAUCGGGAUCCUACUGUAUAGAAAGUUGAGAAGAAAGUAGGUCCUUGGAAAAGUAAAUUAAAUUCAUAUGGAGGCGGGUUAAUUUUACUUAGGUCUUGUUUGACCAAUAUUCCUUUUUUAAUGAUGUCUAUGUUCGAAUUACCUAAAGGACCAAAGAACAGUAUGGAUAUAUAUAGGAAAAUAUUUUUCCAGCAAGAAGAUGAAGAUACUAAGAAAGUUCAUUUAGUUAAUUGGGAGACUGUUUGCUUACCUAAAGAUAUGGAAGGCCUGGGUGUAGUAGAUUUUACUAUUAUGAAUAUUUGUUUAUUCUGUAAGUGGCUUGGAAAUUAGAGAAUGAAAAAGGAGUCUGGCAAGAUUUGCUUAGGAAGAAGUAUAUAGGUAACUACUCUGUCCAUGUGUAAAGCUAGACCUGGACAAUCACACUUCUGGCAAGGUUUGAUGAAAGUGAAGCCUAUUUUCUUUAAGUAUUGUAGAAAAGUUGUGGAUUGUGGGCAACGGUAGGAGAACCGGGUUUUGGGAAGAUCUUUGGUUAGGAGAUAAUCCUUUGUGCAUUAAAUUCCCUAGAUUGCAUUUGCUUACUUUCAGUGGUAAUUUCUCAGUACCAAAAGUUAUCAAGAGUGAGUUUGCUACUGUUAGAUUAAGGAAUUUGUGUGUGUGUGUGUGGGGUGGGGGGGGGGUGGCACCUGAUAUGUGGAACCAACUGAGACAGAUGUGUGAUGGUAUUACUUUGUCAGAUAAAGAAGAUGUAUGUUACUGGCUGUUAACCAAAAAUGGUAAAUUUAGUGUUAGAUCCCUUUAUGUUAGUUUCAAAUAUAGUCACGAGAAGUAUGGGGGGUUAAAGUGCCCUUGAAGGUUAAAGUUCUCAUGUGGUUGGUCCUAAGGAAAAGUAUUCCAAUUAGAGAUGUUCUGACUAAAUGAAACUGGGAAGGUAGUGAAAGUAAAUGUAGUUUUCAUGAUUAUGCCGAAAGUAUACGACAUCUUUUCUUUGACUGUGCGAUUGCUAAAUAUGUGUGGGGAGUAGUUUGUGUGGCUAUAGGUUUGACUGAAUUCCCCAAACUGUAGAUCAAUUUAGUGCUUGGAUUGGUAAGUUUUAAAGGUAAAGUAAAAUAGAGGUUAGCUUUGGGUGUGACAGCUGUGUUCUGGACACUCUGGAAAACUAGGACACUGCUACUUUUGAUCACAUAUGCACUAGUGAUCCUACUAUGGUGGUGUAUAAGUUGUCUCAUUGGAUUACAUUAUGGUUUGGUUUACAGAUAAAGGAAAAGAAUUGGAGGUACAGAGAUCAAGAUGGCCGCAAACUCACUCUUGAUAACUUUUAUGGUUUGCUAUUAUGGCCAUGCUGCUCAUUAAGAUGGUUUGCUAUCAUAGAUGGGUUGCUUAUUUAUCAGUCUUGUUUCAGUGUUUCUUUAUUAUUAUUGUUUGUUUCCUCUUCAUUCCUUCAGUUUUAUGUUCCUUUAUUUAGUAAUUUUUCUUGCAUCAUUUUUCAGUAUUUUAGUCAAUAAUUAUUUAGUUCAUCUCAAUAGCCCCUUAUAAUUCUCUAUUUAAAUAAUUAUUUCAGUCUUUCCUGUUAGAUUCAUUCAUGCCUUCACUUGAUUUGGCUGAUCAGUGUGUUUGGUAUUUCAAAUAGUUCUGUAUUUUCAUUUCUUUAGUGUUCACUUUGUCUUUUUUUAGUAUGCAGUUUAUUAUUUUUUAAGUCUUCAUUUGUUUAUAGUCAUCAGUGUCCCAAAGGAUCAGUACCUUUGGUAUUUCAUUUGGUCCUUUUUAGUUUUUUGAUAAUUUGUUAGUUAUUUUGUCAUUCUCUGUCCUUGUCCAUCAGUUUAAAGUUAAGUCGUUAAGAAUAAAAUUAAGCUAUCCAUCAGUUUAGCUAUAAGAGUAAGUUUUUCUCUGCCAUAUGUGCAAUCUCUUUUUAAGUCUAUCAGUUUUCAGAGUUUAAGAAGCAUCAGCAGAGCAAAUCUUUCUUUUUCGAAAAAUAUUUUUAUUUUCAUUUCUUCUUCAGUUUCUGUAUGACUUCAGUUUUCUUUUCUUUUUCAGAUAUAAACUUAUUAUUUUUAGCAUGCAAUCUCUUUUUAAGUCUACCAGUUUUGAGAGUUUAACAAGCAUGAGGAGAGCCAAUCUUCUUUUUUCGAUUCUUUUUUCAUUUUCUUUCUUCUUUAAUUUCUGUAUGACUUCAGUUUUUUUGGGUUCAUUUUAAUUCUUUUUACUUGCUCCUUUUUCUGCAGUUUGUGCUAUGGCACUCAAGGUCCGAAUUCAACGGCGCAACUGGUGACUGCCCUUUGAGGAAUGUGGGGGCCGCAGAUUUCUGCAGUUUGUUCAUUCAGGCACAUCAAGAUCGCUGGCUAACAAGUUUACAAUACUGCCAGGGCAUCAUCCACCCAAAAGCAAUCCUGGGACUCAUUUCUCACCCCGACCUGGGCAAGUUCAUGUGCUACGGUGUAACAGACACGACUACUAAAAGAGAACUUGAAAGACUCAAAAUUUGAAACACAUAAACUCCAAGCUUCCUUCACCAGUACGCCGAUCGUUGCCAUAUCAAACCCCUUGCUGUUCAGCGAAUUCACAAAAUUGGGAGCAUCAGACUCUCGAAAAUAAUUCGGUUUGCGCCAAGUCUGAUAGCCCCAUCAAUAGCAGCAAGGCACACCACUGCUUCAGAAUGAAGUAAAUCUCUCAGGUGCACAGAUGUUCCUGCGCCAGCAGCAGCAAAAUCAUCUCUGAGGACUAGAAACUGGCUCCCCUGUGUUGGCUUUCUUCCUGACAUCCCACCACUCCCACACAAGACAAGAGCCCUCAGCUGGGAGGCACUAUCAGCUUUCCACAAUUCACCAAGCAUCUCAUGGGCAGACUUGUGCUUAACCAAGAUUUCCCUAAGACCACCCAACGCCAGCCUGCUCCGACAUUCUUUUACCUUCUUACAUUUGAGGAAAAUGUGGCCGCCGUCUUCAUUCAACCGAUGACACACCGGGCAGGCCGUGUCUAGUUCCACCCCCAACCUCUGAAUCUUCAUCCUGUUUGCCAAACUUUCGUGAGCAAGGAGGCGCCCCACAAACAUUUUGUACUUAUUGGGACCCCACAACUUCCAAAUUUGCUUCCACUUGAAAUUUUCAGUGCUGCUCCCUUUUAUUUCUGCGGAGGUAGCCGUUGAUCCUAUAUACAGGAUAAAAGUUACUUCCCAGUCUUGAUCUCUUGAAUAUUUUGCUUGUGUUUUGUUAGAGAAGUGUGAAUAUCUUGAAUGGGGGCAAAAUUGGAUUUCCUGGACAAAACGAUGGAACUAAUGUAAAUUUCAGAGUAGAUGUUGGAAUCAGUAGAUGAGGACAGACUUGUUUCACAUGGUGUUGUUUGGUUUAGGCCAGGGUUUCUGCUCUUAUUUGGACAAGCACAUGCAGAAGCAAGUGUCAUUUUGUAAUGGAAGUAACUUGUCUUCUUUGAAUACCAGUGUAUGCGAGUGGGUGCUAAAUGGAUUUGAAAUGUGACUAUUGUUCUUGACAUACAUGCCACUUUCGUCUCCAUUGGGGACUGAUGGAUUCUAUUCUCUUCCUCAUCAACUUGGGUGAAGCUUUUUUUUUAGGGUCACGCCCGGCCUCUGCAUUAGAGUGAUGCAUGCGGCCAUACCAUUCUUCCUCAUCAACUUGGGUGAAGCUGACUAUACCAUUCUUGAAAAAGGAAGCUGCGGCAUUCUUUGUGGACUUAACUCUUAAGAGAUUCUGGUAAAUCUGUAGAUGAAUUAUGGUACUAGGUUCUAGUUUGGAGUAUUACCUUUUGUCAGCUUAAAGUGACCUUACUACUUCAUGGCCAUCAAACUAACUUUUAAUCUCAAGAAUCAGUGCGCUGACUGAAGUACACGGGCUUCUUGCAACCUGUCCAGAUGGACAAAAUGAGACGCUACUAAAAGCGCAGCGAUAACAAACUUGUCCCGAGCAUUCAGAGAGGGAGUGAUGAUCUACAUCUACAUGAUGGCCCUGGAAGAUCAAAUACAGUAGGCUACCAAGGAUUGGGAACAUGGCCCAUUUCUUGGCGAUUCAAUCUAUCUUGAGAAAAAAAAAAGGUAGCAACAGUUUCCACAUCGUAGUCCCAAAGUCUCUCAAGUCCAUCUUCUACCCGCGAAGAAAAUCGUCACACUCACCGGCCGAGUAACCGUCAUCAGGACUGAGCAGUUGCAAAGACCGAAACUUAAGCAAUAACACAUGCCGACUACAUGAACCACAGUAGGAACUUGUUGCAAGGGGCGGGACAAAACGCACACUUAACCAAUGUCAGGCAGGGCCUGUGAACAAGCUGAUGAAAAUCUGCCGCGGAACCACCAACAGCAAGGAAGAAGAAUCCAACACUAUGCUCAAUUCCUUUAAAAAAAAACUAUGCUUGAUUAGAAAGAAACUUAUCUGGCCCUAGCUAUAAAUGGGUGUGGAAAGCCCCCAUCCCGCUGAAAAUCAAAAUUUUCUUGUGGCAGCUUUUUCAGAAUGUUAUGCUUACAAGAGAUAAUCUGCGCAUUAGGAAGUGGCCUGGGAACCCUACAUGCUCUUUUUGUACAAGUGUGGAAACAGCGAACCACUUGUUCUUUACUUGCCCGCUUGCCCGCACGGUUUGGGGCGUGAUGGGGAUGACAGUUGGAUCCUCUUGCUGUCCUCGAUCGCUUUGGCAAAGUUGGGCUUGGCUAUAUAAGUUCUUUCCAGGAGGAAAGCAGUUCUAUAUGAUGAUUAUUGCUGCCAUAUGUUGGGGGAUUUGGAACCUCCGCAAUAAAGUUACUUUUGAUAAACAUGUUGAUCGCACUCCGCUGGAGGCUGUUUUCACUGCAUGUUCGUUUAUGUUAUAUUGGGUAGGUUUGCUUAAAGGAGAAGACAAGGUGAAGCUCCAGGCUUAUUGGCUCACGCGGCUGCUACCCUGGCAGACAGAUCCUUCCCUCGUGGCAGACUCCUCUUAGGAGACAAUGACGGGAUCCAGAUCGGCUAGCUGGGUGCAUUACUGAUGUCUUUUGGUCCUGUUUCCCACUGGGGUUUGAUGCCCGCUGGACUUGUUCAUCUUGGUAGCAUUUUGCUUCGGCGUCUUUAUCAGUAGUUUCAUCAUUGAACUCUCUUAGUUGGGCAGUGGCUUGUAAAUGUCAUCAGGUUUUCGCCCCAUGGCGGAUGGUCCGCUUUAGGAUCAUCGGGCGGUGGGUUUCCUGAUGAUGCGCCAACUCGCUUCUCCCCUUUUAGUCUCUUUUUGCUUAUCUCAUUUGGGUUCUAGUUCCUUGUUAGUAAGUGGCUGAAUGACAAAGACUUGAUAAUAGACUGAUGUAUUUCCGUUGAUUGCAAAAUUAAUGAAAAGGGGUGUGAGCCCGGUUUGAAAAAUAA